rnacentral:rRNA from 1 species
GACGAACGCUGGCGGCGUGCUUAACACAUGCAAGUCGAGCGAUGAAGCACCUUCGGGUGCGAAUUAGCGGCGAACGGGUGAGGAACACGUGAGAAAUCUGCCUUCAACUCUGGGAUAACUCCGUGAAAACGGGGCUAAUACCGGAUAUGAAACCUGCGGGCAUCCGCGGGUUUGGAAAGUUUUUCGGUUGAAGAUGAUCUCGCGGCCUAUCAGCUUGUUGGUGAGGUAAUGGCUCACCAAGGCGACGACGGGUAGCCGGCCUGAGGGGGCGACCGGCCACACUGGGACUGAGACACGGCCCAGACUCCUACGGGAGGCAGCAGUGGGGAAUAUUGGGCAAUGGAGGAAACUCUGACCCAGCGACGCCGCGUGCGGGAUGAAGGCCUUCGGGUUGUAAACCGCUUUCAGCAGGGAAGAAGCGAAAGUGACGGUACCUGCAGAAGAAGCACCGGCUAACUAUGUGCCAGCCGCCGCGGUAA